AAACGCUUGCAUCAGUAUUUACAACGUAAACAAUGGCAUCCGAUGAUUACAAUACCUGGUCUGUUUCAGAACUAACGUUACGUGGAGCUGUCACAAGAGACAGAAAUAUAGAUCUUAUAGAAAGAAUCAAUUAGAAGAGCCAAAAUUUAUAAGCUUAGAUUCAAAACAUUCUGGAGGAGCAGAUUGUGUGAAGAAGCCAGCAGAAGUCAAGAGAAAUAAAAAGAAUGGAACAAAAGAAAAAUUGAAAAAGAACAGUGAAAUGACAAAAUUAAAUAAAAAUUUUGCAUUUCUUA